rnacentral:rRNA from 1 species
GUAACAAGGUUUCCGUAGGUGAACCUGCGGAAGGAUCAUUACCGAGUGCGGGCCCUCGUGGCCCAACCUCCCACCCUUGUCUCUAUACACCUGUUGCUUUGGCGGGCCCACCGGGGCCACCUGGUCGCCGGGGGACAUCUGUCCCCGGGCCCGCGCCCGCCGAAGCGCUCUGUGAACCCUGAUGAAGAUGGGCUGUCUGAGUACUAUGAAAAUUGUCAAAACUUUCAACAAUGGAUCUCUUGGUUCCGGCAUCGAUGAAGAACGCAGCGAAAUGCGAUAAGUAAUGUGAAUUGCAGAAUUCCGUGAAUCAUCGAAUCUUUGAACGCACAUUGCGCCCCCUGGCAUUCCGGGGGGCAUGCCUGUCCGAGCGUCAUUUCUGCCCUCAAGCACGGCUUGUGUGUUGGGUGCGGUCCCCCCGGGGACCUGCCCGAAAGGCAGCGGCGACGUCCGUCUGGUCCUCGAGCGUAUGGGGCUUUGUCACUCGCUCGGGAAGGACUGGCGGGGGUUGGUCACCACCAAAAUUUUACCACGGUUGACCUCGGAU